GGAAGUUCCCAGGCUAGGGGUCAUAUUGGAGCUGCAGGUGCCGGCUUAUGCCACAGCCAUAGCAAUGACAGAUCCAAGCCACAUCUGCAGCCUAUACCACAGCUUGCAACAAUGCCGGAUCCUUAACCCACUGAGCAAGGCCAGGGAUUGAACCCACAUCCUCACGGAUACUAGUCGGGCUCUUGAUCCACUGAACCACAAGGGGAACUCCUCUCCAGAAUUCUUAGGUUGAAGUCCUAACCUCCUUCGGACCCCCAAGCGACUCAAAAUGUGACUAUAUUUGGAAAUACAAUCUUUAACGAGAUAAUUGAAAUGGGGUCAUGAGGGUGGGCCCUAAUUCAAUAUGACUGUGUAAGAGGUGGAAUUUUUAAGAGGAGGAAGUCAGGACAUAGACAUGUAGAGAAGGAGAACCACGUGAAGCCACAGGGAGAAAAAGGCCACCUAUGUGCCAAGGGAAGAGGCCUCAGAAGAACCAACCCUACGGUGCCUUGAUCUCAAACUUCCAACCUCCAGAAGUGUGAGAAAAUGAGUUUCUGUUGUUUGGCAAUCUGAAGCAUUUAGUUAAGAUGGCCCUAGUAAGCUAGUACAUGUAAAACAGAACGAAAUCUAGGCCUGGUGAAUAGGGGUCUGACUUGCUUUGCCAUGAAGAAGAGAUCUAGUGUCUCAUUCAGCCCCAGAUGUGAGUCAGUUCCCUGACCCAAACCUCCUUGAACAGAGAGCCAGACAUCCCCUGAGUAAGGUCUCCUCAAAGAUACUGCAAGUAUCUCCUCUACAUUUCCUGCUUGGGAUCUGCAACUGUUUACUAGGUACCUGCACAGGGAGAGGGAACUUCCCAGAACUUCUGAGGAUGACUGGACACUGGUUCUGAAACGGUGCUAAUUCUUGGGGUUUCUGGUUGCCACUGUGACCCACCAGAGGGGAAUAAAUGGAAACCUGGCUUCAGAAGUUCCCACUGUGUCUCGGCGGUAAUGAACCUGUCUACAAUCCAUCCCUGGCCUUGCUCAGUGGGUUAAGAAUCCAGCGUUGCCACGUGCUGCGGUGUAGGUUGCAGAUGUGGCUUGGAUAUGGUGUUGCUGUGGCUGUGGCGUAGGCCUGUAGCUGCAGCUCCAAUUUGACCCCAAGCCUGAGAAUUUCCAUAUGCCAUGGGUGCGGCCCUAAAAAGCAAGCAAGCAAACCAACCAACCAACAAAAGAAACCUGGCUUCGAUUCAUCUCACAAGGGGACCAACAGCUCUGUAAAAGUCUAAAGUUGUUGUCUCAGCUGCUGAGUACAUGACUGGAAUAGAUGUAUGCUGUGACUGACAGAAUCCACACUUGGACUCCACGGCACAUGGGGUUAGUGCUGUGAUGGCUGUGGAGGGCUAGAAGGCAGUCUCUGGGGUUUCCCUUUCCUACCAAAGCCACAAACCAAGGAAGUUCCCGUCAUGGCUCAGUGGUUGAUGAAUCCAACUAGGAACCAUCAGGUUGCGGGUUCGAUCCCUGGCCUUACUCAGUGGGUUAAGGAUCCGGCGUUGCCGUGAGCUGUAGUGUAGGUCACAGACGCGGCUCAGAUCCUGUGUUUCUGUGGUUCUGGCAUGGGCUGGCAGCUACAGCUCCAAUUAGACCCCUAGCCUGGGAACCUCCAUAUGCCGUGGGAGCAGCCCAAGAAAUGGCAAAAAGACAAAAAAAAAAAAAAGACAAAAAAAAAAAAACCCACAAACCAAAAGCAAUGAAGUUAGAAUGGCAGCAUCUUCCUAAACUGUCUUCCUUGCUGCAUCACAUAUAUGGUUAUACAUUAUUAUUAUUAUUUUUUUGCAAGUAAGCAAAGUCUGGGCAAACAGCUCCCAGGACAGCUGGGAGGGGGAAGAAGAGUCCCCCCCCUCUAUUGUCUUAUAGGGGUUUUUAUCCCUUAAAGAUGGGGCUUACCAAUGUGGGGUCCAGAAAGAUGUGGUUUUCUCCCAUUGGCCUUGCCCAGUAACCUGCAUCAGUGGUUUUACAUUAAUUAAGUUUUUUGGCUUUUUAUUCAAGGUAUGUUGGCAAUAGCUAGCUUCAUCAAUGAAUCAAUAAGUUAACCAACAUUGGCUGCAAAUGAACUAAAGGGAGGAAUAAACAUUACUCAGAAACCUUGGGUUUGGACUUUGGGUUCUUAGCGGAGAUGCUGGGACAUUUCCUCUGUAGCCAGGGGGGGAGUGGGGUGGGGUGGGGGGGUGGGGGGGGAAGAAUCUGUGUUGUCAGGCAAAAAGCUUGUCGUUAUUGGUUGAAAGUUUAUAGAAGAAGGAAGCCAAGAGGAAAACUUGAGCGGCUAUAACCUGUAUCCACCCACUCAAAUCUUGUGACACCCCCGCCUCCUUGUGUUUUGUUAACUUCCCCUAUUUUGUAAGUUCCCACUUCCUCAAGGUAAAUGCCAAACAUUUUGCACUCUCUGGAUCACCUACAACUAGGAUACCGCCAUGAGAUCUGGUUUGCCUUGCAGCAGCCUCAGAGGAAACAGCAUGGCCCUGUGGCCACGGGCCAGGCCAUCCAUCUCCUGCAGGCUCUGUCCUGAGAAUCAGAGAAAGUGGCUGAAAGGGCUCAGGUACCAAGGCUCGCCCCAUUCUGUAGCUGAGGCUGUGCUGUCUCUGUAGCUUCAGCAUUGGGCUGUCCGGCCUUCUCCUAGGUAGAUUCUAAGAGCUAUGUAAUAUCUUUAAUCAACUUUGCUGCUGAAGAGGCAGACUGAUUCUGGCUAGUCUCAAGCAGAAAUGAAAUUAAAUAAAGGAUAUUAGGCAACGGAUGUUCCUGACCACAAAAGGUUUUAAGCUGGAGACGAUCACACUUUUGUUUGCAAAAGGGCC
rnacentral:lncRNA from 1 species